rnacentral:other from 1 species
GAAUUCCUUACAGCAAUUACAUUAUUGAAGAAACCUGAAUUCUG